UACAGAGGGUGCAAGCGUUAAUCGGAAUUACUGGGCGUAAAGCGUGCGCAGACGGUUGCGUAAGUCAGAUGUGAAAGCCCCGGGCUCAACCUGGGAAUUGCAUUUGAGACUGCGUAGCUAGGGUGCGGAAGAGGGAAGCGGAAUUUCCGGGUGUAGCGGUGAAAUGCGUAGAUAUCGGAAGGAACACCAGUGGCGAAAGCGGCUUCCUGGUCCAGCACCGACGUCAGGCACGAAAGCGUGGGGAGCAAACAGG
rnacentral:rRNA from 1 species